rnacentral:sRNA from 1 species
AAUUAUACUUCCGUCUGGCUAUCUUCACCGACAAGGGACGGCCUGCUAAAUUUGGCAGGAAAACGCACGCCAAAAUUUGAGAGAAAAUUGCGGGGGCUUUU